GCUUAACACAUGCAAGUCGAGCGAGAAUCGUUUUGCUGAAGGCUUCGGUCUGACGCAGAAUGAGGAAAGCGGCGAACGGGUGAGUAACGCGUGGGCAACCUGGCCUUAAGAAAAGGAUAGCCCCCGGAAACGGGGAGUAAUACUUUAUGAGAAUGAGAGAGGGCAUCCUACUUUCAUUCAAAGCGCAAGCGCUUAAGGAUGGGCCCGCGUAUCAUUAGCUAGUUGGUGUGAUAACAGCCCACCAAGGCAACGAUGAUUAGCCGGUCUGAGAGGGCGAACGGCCACAUUGGAACUGAGAGACGGUCCAAACUCCUACGGGAGGCAGCAGUGGGGAAUAUUGCGCAAUGGAGAAGAACUCUGACGCAGCAACACCGCGUGAGCGAAGAAGGUCUUCGGAUCGUAAAGCUCUGUUAUCAGGGAAGAAGAAAAUGACGGUACCUGAUGAGCAAGUCCCGGCUAACUACGUGCCAGCCGCCGCGGUAAUAC
rnacentral:rRNA from 1 species